rnacentral:rRNA from 1 species
AACGCGAAGAACCUUACCAGCCUUUGACAUGGGACGUUUGAGAACCAGAGAUGAUUUUCUUCAGUUCGGCUGGCGUCCACACAGGUGCUGCAUGGCUGUCGUCAGCUCGUGUCGUGAGAUGUUGGGUUAAGUCCCGCAACGAGCGCAACCCUUGCCGUUAGUUGCCAUCAGGUUGGGCUGGGCACUUUAACGGAACUGCCGGUGAUAAGCCGGAGGAAGGUAGGGACGAGGUCAAGUCCUCAUGGCCCUUAUAGGCUGGGCUACACACGUACUACAAUGGCGGUGACAGAAGGGAGCGAAGGAGCAAUCUGGAGCAAAUCCUUAAAAGCCGUCUCAGUUCGGAUUGUUCUCUGCAACUCGAGAGCAUGAAGUCGGAAUCGCUAGUAAUCGUAGAUCAGCAUGCUACGGUGAAUACGUUCCCGGGCCUUGUACACACCGCACGA